AGCCAGGGUGACUCAGGGUGGCUCCCAGGGUCCCUGAGGGGAGGCUCCUCCCAGACCGGGGGCUCUUUUGCAUCUGGAGCCCAAGGGAGCCGCAGGGAGCCCUGCCCAGGACAUAAAAGCUUCCUCCCUCCUUCCUGCCCCCUCAGGGCUCUGAGUGCUCUCUGCACAGUCUCUGAAGGCCAGGAUGAGCUCCCCAUGGCAGCUGCUCUGGCUCCUGGUGCUCUGGGCUCAGGAUUCCCAGGGAGCCAUUGUGCUGACCCAGUCUCCAGCCUCCUUGUCCGGAUCUCCAGGAGAGAGAGUCACCAUCAGCUGCAAGGCCAGUCAGAGUGUAAAGUAGUAGCUACUUGCACUGGUACCAGCAGAAACCUGGCCAAGCCCCCAGGCUCCUCAUCUACUAUGCUAACAACCUGGCAUCGGGGGUCCCUGCCCGGUUCAGUGGCAGUGGGUCUGGGACAGAUUUCACUCUCACCAUCAGCAGCCUGGAGCCUGAGGAUGCUGCACAUUAUUACUGUCAGCAGUCUAGGAGCUCCCCUCUCCCACAGUGCUUCAGGCCCGAACAAAAACCUCCCCAGUGUGUCCAGGGGACUGAGCUCAGAGCAGCAGGUGCCUCCUCGGGGUCCCCAGGGCAGAGCAGCCCCUGCUCUCUGGGCAGGCUCACACCUCCCAGGGCUUCCCCUUUCUGGUCCCCCAGGUCCCCUCCUUUCUAACUUGUGAUCACAAGC